UACCCAUGCAUGUAUGGAGUUCGAUCAGCUUAUAGGCGAUGGGACCGAGUGAACGCUAGAUGCUGAGAUUCGUUUAUUUUAGAAUUAUUGUUAAAAAUUAGAUAAUUUAGUUAGCUUAAACUUAACUUGUGAUUGACAUUUAAUAUUUUAGUUUUGUUAGAAUUAUUACUAAAUUUGGUGAAUUUAGUGAUUUAUUUGUGGAACUUUCAAUUAUGCAUUUAGUUUUGUGGAUUCAAAUCGGAUUGAUAUUUAACUUAAAUUCGUGAUAGAUUAUUUUACUCAAUAUUUGCAUGAUUUGUUGCCUUGCAUAAUUACAGAUAUGCGGUGUCUGUUAUAUCUCAAAUUCGGAGCGUGACACUAAAGGUGUGUUUGGCUUGAAGUCGGACUCGAUAUCGGAAUAGGAAUGAGAAAAAGCUGGAAACAGAAUCAGAAUGAUUUAUUAUCUCAUUUUGUUUGGCUUACCACCUGAAUUGGAAUCGGAAUGAACCAUUCCUAUUGUCGAUGUUUGGUUUAAAUAGAUAUCAGAAACAUAAUCAAAUUAAUAUGACAAUUUAUCUUUAUAAUAUAUUAGUUUAAAUUCAAACUGAAAAUUAAAUAUUAAAAAUUUACAUCCAAAUUUUAAAUGAUGUCAAAAUUUUAAAUAUAUGUUUUAAAAAAAUUAAAAUUUGAAAUUGAAUUGAUAAUUCAAAAUAUAAAAAAACAAUUUCAAUUUAUUCAAAUUCAAACUGAAAAUUAUAAUUUAAAUUUCAAUUUGAAUCCAUAAAUUUAAUUUAAAUUUUAAAUAAAAUUUGAAUAAAACUUUAGAUUUUAAAUUAAAUUUAAAUUUAAAUUUAUAAAUUAGAUUCGAAAUGCUUGAUUGAAUUUUUAAUUUUUAAUUUAAGUUCGAAUUAAAAUUUAAAUUUAUAAAUAUAUUUUUAAAUUUAAACUUAUGUUUUAAUUAAAAAAUAAGUUUAAAAAAUUUAAAUUUAAUCAAAACAAAUUCAUUCCGUCCUAGGCCGGAUUGGAAAAAGGAAUAAUUAGGGGGAUUCCCAUUCACACGAGAAUAAGAAUCGGAAUGAGAAUUUCACAUAUCAAACACGAAUAAAUGGAUUCGUUCAUUUCGAUUCCGAUUUCAGUGUAAAAAAGGAGCGAACCAAACACGUCCUAAGUAUUCUUGCAAAUUCCACUUCCAGAAAUUCUCAAAAAAGUCAUUUAAAGUGUGACACGAAAAGCGACUAGUGCUGCCAAACUUGAUUUUCUUCUCUCUCUUGGAACUCCAAAAUCAUUCUCGAACGCAUGCAAUUUCACACGU
rnacentral:lncRNA from 1 species